rnacentral:lncRNA from 1 species
AUUCGGGCUAAAGGGUUUGAACUCGAUAUGGUUAUCUGCAAAGAGAAUAAUUUUUAGUUAGAUUUCAUACUUAUAAAAUUAUUUAUUUUAAAAACUUUAAAAACAAACAAAGGCUCCUAUUAUUUUCUUGAAUCUCCCACACUCCUCGGGUGGAGAAACAGAAAUCUAUAUGCGAUCAGUUUCAAUUGGGUACUGCAUCCCAUUAAUCUAUACACACC